GGGGUUGUGGCUCAGUGGUAGAGUGCUCGCCUAGCACGUGCGAGACCCUGGGUUCAAUCCUCAGCACCA
rnacentral:tRNA from 1 species